rnacentral:rRNA from 1 species
AUUGAACGCUGGCGGCAGGCCUAACACAUGCAAGUCGAACGAGUGGCGGACGGGUGAGUAAUGUCUGGGAAACUGCCCGAUGGAGGGGGAUAACUACUGGAAACGGUAGCUAAUACCGCAUACCAUCGGAUGUGCCCAGAUGGGAUUAGCUAGUAGGUGGGGUAAUGGCUCACCUAGGCGACGAUCCCUAGCUGGUCUGAGAGGAUGACCAUCCACACUGGAACGGAGACACGGUCCAGACUCAUACGGGAGGCAGCUGUGAGGAAUAUUGCAAAAUGGGGGCAAAGCUGAUGCAGCCAUGCCGCGUGUAUGAAAAAUGCCUUCGGGUUGUAAAGUACUUUCAGCGAGGAGGCAUUACUCGCAGAAGAAGCACCGGCUAACUCCGUGCCAGCAGCCGCGUUAAUUC